rnacentral:rRNA from 1 species
AGAGUUUGAUCAUGGCUCAGGAUAAACGCUGGCGGCGUGCCUAACACAUGCAAGUCGAACGCUCUCGGGCAACCGAGGGAGUGGCGGACGGGUGAGUAACACGUGGGGAUCUGCCCUGGGGUGAGGAAUACCACCGGGAAACCGGUGACAAGACCGCAUAGGCUUCGAAAGAAGCAAAGUCGCAAGACGCCCGAGGAUGA